rnacentral:rRNA from 1 species
GGUUGAUCCUGCCAGUAGUCAUAUGCUUGUCUCAAAGAUUAAGCCAUGCAUGUCUAAGUAUAAACAUCUUUAUACCGUGAAACUGCGUACAGCUCAUUAUAUCAGUUAUGAUUUAUUUGAUGGUACCUUACUACAUGGAUACCCGUAGUAAUUCUAGAGCUAAUACAUGCGCACAAUCCCGACUACUCGUUGGAAGGGAUGUCUUUAUUAGAUUCGAAGCCAAUGCAGUAGCAAUACUGCCCACAUUGGUGACUCAUAGUAACGUGUCGAAUCGCAUGGCGUUAAUGCUGGCG